rnacentral:miRNA from 1 species
UCUGAGACAGGAGGGCAGGUGG